UGGACUUCCGCUUUCCGCUUGGUUAAGAGCGAAGAUGACAGACACCCUCCUUGGUUGCUGUGAGGAUGGGACGAAACAGAAAGAGAAAACUGCCCAGCAGGUGCGAGAGGAGACCAUGCCAGGUGUCCGGAGCUUGUUAAGUGGAGCCAGAGAUGCAAUAGAUGAGCCAGUGUCAAAGCCAGAUCCUGCCCAGCCACCAGGCCACCUGUCCCAAGGCCCCCAUCUCUGGCAUCGCCCCUGGGAAUAGCUGCCAGGUAAGAGCAGGCCUUGUGGCCUCCAGCCCUGACUUCGCCUAGCACUGGCUGAGGGCUCCAAUCUUCCUGCCCCGGUCAUAAACUCAAGACCUACCCCCACCUCAAGUCCCAAGCUGAGCCCUGACAGUGAGCCCAGCACCCCUCAGAGCUCCACGGGGAGCACCA
rnacentral:lncRNA from 1 species